rnacentral:rRNA from 1 species
UAAUACGAAGGGUGCAAGCGUUACUCGGAAUUACUGGGCGUAAAGGGUGCGUAGGUGGUUUUUUAAGUCCGUUGUGAAAUCCCUGGGCUCAACCUGGGAAUGGCAGUGGAUACUGGAAAGCUAGAGUGCGGUAGAGGGUAGUGGAAUUCCCGGUGUAGCAGUGAAAUGCGUAGAGAUCGGGAGGAACACCAGUGGCGAAGGCGGCUACCUGGACCAGCACUGACACUGAGGCACGAAAGCGUGGGGAGCAAACAGGAUUAGAUACCCUGGUAGUCCACGCCCUAAACGAUGCGAACUGGAGGUUGGGUGCAACUUGGCACUCAGUCUCGAAGCUAACGCGUUAAGUUCGCCGCCUGGGGAGUACGGUCGCAAGACUG